ACGGAUAUCAGGAUGGAUUUUACGCGACGCAACCACAAGUUAGAUAACUGUAUUGAUACAUCGAUGAGAGGCGGCCGUGCGAUGAACGCGCGAUGUGUUAUUAAUGAGCAAACAUUUCUCUCUCUCUCUCACACACACACACACACACACACACACACACACACACACACACACACACACACACACACGCACACACACACACACACACACGAUGUCGGCGCGAUUCGCGUGAUAUAAAGGAAGAGGAAGAGGAUGGCUUGGUGCCAGAGCCACUUGCGGAAGAUGAGUAGUACGUACAAGAGAAGCACACUCUCAGGAUAAGUGUGCGCGCUCCCCUGACAUACAUCGACACACUCGUUAAAAUAACGACAUAAUGGCUAAUUCAACGAUAAUCAGCGCGAACUGUAGCGUUCGAAUUAGCAUCGAAGUACCACCUAUCUCAUAUAUAUAUAUAUAUAUAUAUAUAAGCCGUCAUGGAAAAACUUCAACCGUUCAGUCAAACUGUGUAUUACGAGAGAGGACUGUAAAGGAAAAAAUACCAUAUAUUAUAAACUAUAGAUAUUACAAGAAAAAUUCCUUUUUGCACAAAUGUGAGCGCUUAUACUUAGAAUUUGGAAAUGUAAACAAUUUAAAGUUAAUUGAAACCCUUAUGUAGUAGUCAUUUUAAUUAAUUGAAGACUAGAAGGAAAAA